rnacentral:rRNA from 1 species
ACACGUAGGGGGCAAGCGUUGUCCGGAUUUAUUGGGCGUAAAGAGCUCGUAGGUGGCUCAGUAAGUCGGGUGUGAAACCUCCAGGCUCAACCUGGAGACGCCACCCGAUACUGCUGUGGCUAGAGUCCAGUAGGGGAGCGUGGAAUUCCUGGUGUAGCGGUGAAAUGCGCAGAUAUCAGGAGGAACACCAGUGGCGAAGGCGGCGCUCUGGGCUGGAACUGACACUGAGGAGCGAAAGCGUGGGGAGCGAACAGGAUUAGAUACCCUGGUAGUCCACGCCGUAAACGUUGGGUACUAGGUGUGGGGUCUUAUCAACGGAUUCCGUGCCGAAGCUAACGCAUUAAGUACCCCGCCUGGGGAGUACGGCCGCAAGGCUAAA